AUUGAACGCUGGCGGCAGGCCUAACACAUGCAAGUCGAGCGGAUGAGGGGAGCUUGCUCCCUGAUUUAGCGGCGGACGGGUGAGUAAUGCCUAGGAAUCUGCCUGGUAGUGGGGGAUAACGUUCCGAAAGGAACGCUAAUACCGCAUACGUCCUACAGGAGAAAGCAGGGGACCUUCGGGCCUUGCGCUAUCAGAUGAGCCUAGGUCGGAUUAGCUAGUUGGUGAGGUAAUGGCUCACCAAGGCGACGAUCCGUAACUGGUCUGAGAGGAUGAUCAGUCACACUGGAACUGAGACACGGUCCAGACUCCUACGGGAGGCAGCAGUGGGGAAUAUUGGACAAUGGGCGAAAGCCUGAUCCAGCCAUGCCGCGUGUGUGAAGAAGGUCUUCGGAUUGUAAAGCACUUUAAGUUGGGAGGAAGGGCAUUAACCUAAUACGUUAGUGUUUUGACGUUACCGACAGAAUAAGCACCGGCUAACUUCGUGCCAGCAGCCGCGGUAAUACGAAGGGUGCAAGCGUUAAUCGGAAUUACUGGGCGUAAAGCGCGCGUAGGUGGUUCGUUAAGUUGGAUGUGAAAGCCCCGGGCUCAACCUGGGAACUGCAUCCAAAACUGGCGAGCUAGAGUACGGUAGAGGGUGGUGGAAUUUCCUGUGUAGCGGUGAAAUGCGUAGAUAUAGGAARGGAACACCAGUGG
rnacentral:rRNA from 1 species